rnacentral:tRNA from 67 species
AAAAAGAUAAGCUAAUUAAGCUACUGGGCUCAUACCCCAUUUAUAAAGGUUCUAAUCCUUUUCUUUUUA